GAACAAGACUUUACUAACAAAACACGACAAAAGGGAACAAAAAGCUUCGCAGGACAACUCUCAAAAACACAAGGAAAAAAUUUCAAAGACACCGGAACACAAAGAAAAUCCAAAAAUCCAAAAGCGCAUGGAAAACAGUACAUACCAGGAACACACAGGGCAGGAACAUGAUCAGAGACACACACAACCAAGGAUCCAGCACCUGAGUCAAGGAAGAAGGAACUUAAAUAGAACAAACACUGACGAGACACAGGAGGGCACCAUGAACAAUCAGGCCACAGAGAGGGAAGGGAAAACGAGACAACCAGGAACCAAUAAUUGAACAAUUGAAGACAAUCAUACAAUUACACAGGGUACAAGCAGGACACAAAACAGAAGUGCCACCAUCUGGCGGCCCAACAAGGGAAACACAGACAGGAACACAGAACCAUAACAUUCUGGGGGGCAUGGACACGCUUCUUUUUAGUAGGAUGCCGGAGAAGGGUGUCAGGCUGUACACACAUCCUCAGCAGUCAAGUCAGUGAACUGCAUGGACGUGCUUAUUUUGCAGGGAUUUUACACUUGUUGGUGUUAAUAUUCUAUCCUCAGUUGGACCACCACCUGUGUCUUUUAUUCUUGUAAAGUUUUUCUUUUUUUAUGCUGCAUCAUGCAAUAUUUUCUUUCAGUAUCUUCUAGUGUUUUAAUAUACCUAAUGAAUUCAUUUUGUUGGUGAUGUCACUCCUCUCUGUUGCCAUUGUAUUCCUAUGUUAUAUUAUGGUGUUGUGAAGCUGUACCAUGUUGACAAUUACCUAUAUUUCCUGAUCUGUAAAUUUGUUUUCUUUUUCUUGUGGUUCCCUCGCUGCUUGUGCCUGGUUACUCUGUACCCAUUUCUUAGCGCCUUAUAAUCUGGUCCUGUAAGCAUCCGAUAUUGUUUCUGACCCUUUUUAUGGGUGUCUCCUACUGCAAAUUGUGAAUGAGG